rnacentral:lncRNA from 1 species
GUUGAAUCAAAACAAUUAUGCUUUCGUUCUCCCUUCUUCAAUGGCCCUAUCUUCACACCUAAACACUAUUGCUCCGGUAUCCUGCCAUUUUGGAUCAGGGCGGUUGACGGUGGAUUCACUUCCCAUCAACCCUUGAGGCUCCAGGGACCAGCCCUUUGCUAGGUGCGCUUUGCUUCCUAACCCGUUGCCGGGUUGGAGAUUCCACCUCCGAAGUUUUCUUUCUGACUUUUGAUUUUACAUUCCUAGUACAGUGGAGAAGCCCAGGCGGCCUAGAAUCCAGUGUCGUCCGUGAGUGCUUGGCUGGUGGUCAAGUGCAUCUUCCAGCCUGAGACCGCGUGGACUCGCUCAUCGUGAGGGCGAGAGGAGGAUAAGCCCAUUGGGCUGUCGGCUGAGAGUGAGACCAUCCACAAUAUUGUUUGAACAUCUGAAGACAUGGGGGACUUGCCAUCUGAUAUCUGAUAACAGACUUCCUGUAAAGCAGGACUGGUAGUUUCCUGAUAACAAAUUCUUCAAUAUGAAGAUAUGGAUAAAGCAUUUGGCUGCCAAUAAUGAACUGCACCAAAGUCACCAAUUCAAACCAUGCCCUGGUAAAUAGUAUCAUCAGUGAUGAUGAUGAUGAUGAUGAUGAUGAUGAUGAUGAUGAUAAUGUCACAUGUUAAAAAUGUCAUAUAGAUUUUAGCAUCUUGAGGACCUGAUACUCUGUAACAGUGGUCCCUAACCUUUUUGGCACCAGGGACCACUUUCAUGGAAGACAGUUUUUCCGUGGACCAGGAGAG